AUGGAGAAGGCCGGGCGGGGAGGCGAUGGCGCCCCCCGGGGGCCCGUACUGCACAUCGUGGUGGUCGGCUUUCAUCACAAGAAGGGCUGCCAGGUUGAAUUCUCUUACCCGCCCCUGAUUCCAGGAGAUGGACACGACAGCCACACUUUACCUGAAGAAUGGAAGUAUCUGCCCUUCCUUGCCUUACCAGAUGGUGCACACAACUACCAGGAAGAUACGGUGUUUUUUCACUUGCCACCCAGAAAUGGAAACGGAGCCACAGUGUAUGGUAUCUCCUGUUAUCGACAGAUUGAAGCCAAGGCAUUGAAAGUACGGCAAGCAGAUAUCACCAGAGAGACCGUUCAGAAAAGUGUCUGUGUUCUAAGCAAGUUGCCUCUCUAUGGCUUACUUCAAGCAAAACUUCAGCUCAUUACACAUGCAUAUUUUGAAGAGAAGGAUUUUUCCCAAAUUUCCAUUCUAAAGGAGCUUUAUGAGCAUAUGAAUAGUUCCUUGGGAGGAACUUCAUUAGAAGGAUCCCAAGUAUAUCUUGGUCUAUCUCCUCGAGAUCUUGUGCUUCAUUUUCGACACAAGGUCUUAAUCCUGUUUAAACUAAUUCUUCUUGAAAAAAAGGUUCUCUUUUAUAUUUCUCCAGUGAAUAAAUUGGUGGGUGCCCUGAUGACUGUGUUAUCCCUUUUUCCAGGCAUGAUUGAACAUGGUCUCAGUGACUGUUCUCAGUACAGACCCCGAAAGAGUAUGUCUGAAGAUGCUGCACUUCACGAAAGCAAUCUCCCUGCAGAUGAUUUUGUUUCUGUGUCUGCUCCUGACAUUUCAAAUACCAACUCAGGAACUGUUAAGAAAAUCAUGACAGGAAACCAUGGAGGAGAUGCUGGCAUCAACCUUGAAGAACCGUUGCUCCAAGUAGACGAUGACAGCAGCAAAGUUCAGGAACCCAAUGAAACCAGUCAAUAUUUGAAACCUCCUUCUCGCCCAUCUCCAGAGUCUUCAGAAAGUGACUGGGAGACCUUGGAUCCUAGCGUCUUAGAGGACCCCACCUUGAAAGAAAGGGAACAGAUGGGGUCAGAACAGACAAACUCUUUUCCAAAGGAGUCUGUGCCCUCAGACAGUCCUCCGAUUACUGUACAACCUCAAGCUAAUACGGGCCAGGUGGUCCUGAUACCAGGGCUAAUUUCCGGUUUGGAAGAAGACCAAUAUGGCAUGCCCCUGGCCAUCUUCACAAAGGGAUAUCUGUGUUUGCCUUAUAUGGCAUUGCAGCAGCAUCAUCUUCUCUCUGACGUCACCGUCCGUGGAUUCGUUGCUGGGGCUACUAACAUCCUUUUCCGCCAGCAGAAGCACCUCAGUGAUGCCAUUGUGGAGGUAGAAGAAGCUCUGAUCCAGAUCCAUGAUCCAGAACUCAGGAAGCUGCUUAACCCAACCACUGCAGACCUCAGGUUCGCAGAUUACCUAGUGAGGCACGUGACGGAGAACCGGGAUGAUGUCUUCCUGGAUGGCACAGGCUGGGAGGGAGGUGACGAAUGGAUCCGAGCCCAGUUUGCAGUCUACAUCCACGCGCUCCUGGCUGCCACACUGCAGUUGGAUAAUGAAAAGAUAUUAUCGGACUAUGGGACAACCUUUGUUACAGCAUGGAAGAAUACUCACAACUACAGGGUGUGGAACAGCAACAAGCAUCCGGCACUUGCAGAAAUAAAUCCAAAUCAUCCUUUUCAAGGCCAGUACUCCGUGUCAGACAUGAAGUUAAGAUUCUCACAUUCUGUUCAAAACAGUGAACGUGGCAAAAAAAUUGGAAACGUCAUGGUCACAACCAGCCGAAAUGUUGUACAAACAGGAAAAGCUGUUGGCCAGUCUGUUGGAGGAGCUUUUUCCAGUGCAAAGACAGCUAUGUCUUCAUGGCUUUCUACUUUCACCAGUCCUGCCCCCCAGAGUCUCACUGAGCUGCCCGAUGGGAAGCCCUGAGCAAGGUGUCCAGAGGCUGCUGUCGCUUCCUUAGGUUUAAAUGUCUCCCGUCCGUCUGCUCCCAUCUUCAUCGGCCACAGGUCCGCAGCAGGGGACCAGGACAUCGAACUGUUUACAUGGACGGUUGCCCUCUGUCUAAAUGAAUGUCGCAGGAUGCUGGAAAGAUGAAAUCGCAGCCGUAGCGGGGAUGGCUUUCCAGAUCAGUGGUAGCCUCUGGGGCUGACAGGGAACGCAGCCCCAGCUUCUAGAAGAUGAUCGUCAUUUCAUGCGACACAGCGUGCCACUAGGAGUUUUUCAUUCCAGGUCUUUGGACUUCAUGACAUUGGAAUUGUUUUGUCAUAAUUUCUAACAUUCCAUAAAUAUUUGUCAAGGACAAAGAAAAGGAAUGUGGAUCUUUAUUCUUUUUGUAUAAAUAACUUUGUACACAUGACUUCCUGCUUUCAUAUGAAGGGGAAGAAAUUAGCUCCUCCCUUGUGUGGUAACUCCAGAAUUAAACGAUUGUGCAUGUAGAGGGGUUGAGUAUAUUUUGUAAAACUCUAAUGAUUUGUAUUUCUGUGCUGUUCUAAAGUUUACCUUUUUACUUAUAUUAAUUAAAGAUAUAUAGAAACUAUAUAUUUAAAUCAUGUAAAUGGGACACAAUUUAGGGGGUUUUUUCCAGUCUUACUUUUCAUCAGCUUCUCACACACACAUAGUAUGCUGCUCAAAUUAUUUUGUGUGCAAUAUAAACAUUUGAACAUUUCAGUCAGGUACUGAGCCAGAAAAGGUAAUUGAAGUUUUUUAGAAAGCUUCUGUGCUAAAAAAUCUUUGUUUUCUUGAAAUAUUAAUAAUUUAUAGCUGGAAAAAUGGGAUCAAGACUUAAUGUGUUUCAGGCCACUUGGUCAUUGGUUCCUAAAUUUAGGAAGCAUUCGAUUAAUAACAAGUUGGUGAAUGCAUUUAGUAGUCACAAAAAUAAUUUAAACAUUUGAGAUUAAAGGCUUCCCACAAACCCUCUCUAAGAAAGUUUAGCUAAGAGAUCUUAGAAAGUUUUCUGAGGAGGUUUAGCUGUGGCACAUGUUUUGAUCAAAAAGAUAGUUCCUCUUUGCUCCAGUGGUUUUAUAAUUUGUACUAGUUCUUUGGUUUCUGUUGUCAUUUGUUUAAAAAAAAAAUGUUAAGAUUAUAAAUCACGUCUAAUCAUAGUGAACUGUAAAACUUAUGUAUCUUUAUUUUAAGGAAAAAUAAGAAUAAAAGUAUCUUGUUUGUCCUGCAUA